rnacentral:rRNA from 1 species
GGCGUGCCUAACACAUGCAAGUCGAACGAAGCAAUUAAAGGAAGUUUUCGGAUGGAAUUUGAUUGACUGAGUGGCGGACGGGUGAGUAACGCGUGGAUAACCUGCCUCACACUGGGGGAUAACAGUUAGAAAUGACUGCUAAUACCGCAUAAGCGCACAGUACCGCAUGGUACGGUGUGAAAAACUCCGGUGGUGUGAGAUGGAUCCGCGUCUGAUUAGCCAGUUGGCGGGGUAACGGCCCACCAAAGCGACGAUCAGUAGCCGACCUGAGAGGGUGACCGGCCACAUUGGGACUGAGACACGGCCCAAACUCCUACGGGAGGCAGCAGUGGGGAAUAUUGCACAAUGGGCGAAAGCCUGAUGCAGCGACGCCGCGUGAGUGAAGAAGUAUUUCGGUAUGUAAAGCUCUAUCAGCAGGGAAGAAAAUGACGGUACCUGACUAAGAGGCCCCGGCUAACUACGUGCCAGCAGCCGCGGUAAUACGUAGGGGGCAAGCGUUAUCCGGAUUUACUGGGUGUAAAGGGAGCGUAGACGGCGAAGCAAGUCUGAAGUGAAAACCCAGGGCUCAACCCUGGGACUGCUUUGGAAACUGUUUUGCUAGAGUGUCGGAGAGGUAAGUGGAAUUCCUAGUGUAGCGGUGAAAUGCGUAGAUAUUAGGAGGACACCAGUGGCGAAGGCGGCUUACUGGACGAUAACUGACGUUGAGG